rnacentral:misc_RNA from 1 species
GAAAUGCUAUAAGUAAUGUGAAUUGCAGAAUUCAGUGAAUCAUCGAAUCUUUGAACGCACAUUGCGCCCCCUGGUAUUCCGGGGGGCAUGCCUGUUCGAGCGUCAUUUCACCACUCAAGCCUCGCUUGGUAUUGGGCAACGCGGUCCGCCGCGUGCCUCAAAUCGACCGGCUGGGUCUUCUGUCCCCUAAGCGUUGUGGAAACUAUUCGCUAAAGGGUGUUCGGGAGGCUACGCCGUAAAACAACCCCAUUUCUAAGGUUGACCUCGGAUCAGGUAGGGAUACCCGCUGAACUUAAGC